rfam:Gossypium raimondii chromosome 4, whole genome shotgun sequence.
ACCCCAUGAUGAGAGCACUUACGAAGUAAGUCUUUGAAUCUCUCCCUUGCCUCAUACAAAGAUUCGUCAUCCAAUUGUUGAAAAGUGGUUAUCUCAUUUCGCAAUUU